rnacentral:rRNA from 1 species
AUGCUGGACCGCAGACAUGCUUGCCCGACAUGGCCUGGAUCACCACCACACAGUCCUUUCUGUGCCCAACAGGAGGAGUCCAUUGGGCAUAUUUUGCUGAACUGCGUCAUGGCUAGGGAAGUCUGGACUAUUGUCUGGACGGCUCUGGAAAAGCCGGAUUGGAUUCCGACUAGCGAAACAACAUUGGUGGAGUGGUGUGCGAUGAUGAAUGGCACGAGCAAGAGCAUGAAGAAAUUGAGGACGAUCAUCCUCCUCGUCGUUUGGGAGCUUUGGAAGCACCGAAAUGCCAUCGUCUUCGAUGGUGCCACACCGUCCUUGCAAGCCUUGCUGCAAACCAUUGUCAAGGAGGGCCCAAACUGGAAGGAGGCGGGUCUUAUCAAGGGAGAGGUGGAGGAUCUCUUCAGAGCUGUAGCCAGGUGGGAGGGUAUGAGAGAGUAG